GAUGAACGCUGGCGGCGUGCCUAAUACAUGCAAGUAGAACGCUGAAGCUUGGUGCUUGCACCGAGCGGAAGAGUUGCGAACGGGUGAGUAACGCGUAGGUAACCUGCCUCUUAGCGGGGGAUAACUAUUGGAAACGAUAGCUAAUACCGCAUAAAAGUCGACAUUGCAUGAUGUUGACUUGAAAGGUGCAAAUGCAUCACUAAGAGAUGGACCUGCGUUGUAUUAGCUAGUUGGUGAGGUAACGGCUCACCAAGGCGACGAUACAUAGCCGACCUGAGAGGGUGAUCGGCCACACUGGGACUGAGACACGGCCCAGACUCCUACGGGAGGCAGCAGUAGGGAAUCUUCGGCAAUGGACGGAAGUCUGACCGAGCAACGCCGCGUGAGUGAGGAAGGUUUUCGGAUCGUAAAGCUCUGUUGUAAGAGAAGAACGAGUGUGAGAGUGGAAAGUUCACACUGUGACGGUAACUUACCAGAAAGGGACGGCUAACUACGUGCCAGCAGCCGCGGUAAUACGUAGGUCCCGAGCGUUAUCCGGAUUUAUUGGGCGUAAAGCGAGCGCAGGCGGUUAGAUAAGUCUGAAGUUAAAGGCUGUGGCUUAACCAUAGUACGCUUUGGAAACUGUUUAACUUGAGUGCAGAAGGGGAGAGUGGAAUUCCAUGUGUAGCGGUGAAAUGCGUAGAUAUAUGGAGGAACACCGGUGGCGAAAGCGGCUCUCUGGUCUGUAACUGACGCUGAGGCUCGAAAGCGUGGGGAGCAGACAGG
rnacentral:rRNA from 1 species